UUUAUAUAUUUUGGAAUAUAGCGUCAGGCAUGAGAAAUUGCACGUUUGCCUCUUAAUACACUGCAAGUCGAGCGAUUUCGAAUAAGAGCUCCCUGUUAGGAAGUUAGCGGUGCACGUCAGAGUAAAGAGUGGGUACCCGCCCCCAUAAGACUGCGAUAAUUCCGGGUAACGGGGGCUAAUACCGGAUAACAUUGUGCGCUGCAUGGUACGAAAUCGAAAGGCGGCUUCGGCUGUCACUCAAGGAUGCACCCGCGUCGCAUUAGCUAGUUGUUAGGUAACGGCUCACCAAGGCAACGAUGAGUAGCCGACCUGAGAGGGUGAUCGGCCACUCUGGGAUUGAGCCACGGCGCAGACUCCUACGGGAGGCAGCAGUAGGGAAUUUUCCGCAAUGGACGAAAGUCUGACGGAGCAACCCCGCGUGAGUGAUGAAGGCUUUCGGGUCGUAAAACUCUGUUGUUAGGGAAGAACAAGUGCUAGUUGAAUAAGCUGGCCCCUUGACGGUACCUAACCAGAAAGCCCCGGCUAACUCCGUGCCAGCAGCCGCGGUAAUACGUAGGUGGCAAGCGUUAUCCGGAAUUAUUCGGCGUAAAGCGCGCGCAGGUGGUUUCUUAAGUCUGAUGUGAAAGCCCACGGCUCAACCGCGGAGGGUCAUUGGAAACUGGGAGACUGGAGUGCAGAAGAGAACGCA
rnacentral:rRNA from 2 species